rnacentral:lncRNA from 1 species
AACAGAUCAGGGCGUGACAAGGUGUGUCAAACCUUUUGACUGUACAUAUUCAAACAUGUAUUACAAGGUUGACCAGAGGACAAUAUUGGAUUGGCAAAGAUUCUUACUUCUUUUACAAUGUAGAAAUGAAAAGAACAAUUUCAAAAUGUAGAUAACCUCUCCCAAUGCAAUUUAGUAGAGACCACAGGCCUGACACAAAAUGUAGAAAUACGUUUUACAACAAUUUUGUGAACGCAAAAAGUAUCAGAUAGAGAAAUAUUAAGAUAAACACAACAACUGUUCAGAGACUAUUUUAUUUUAAAACAUACCCAAUUUGUCUAUUUGUAGAUUUGUAGUAAAAAUAUGUCACCCGGGUGUUGCGUUUAGCCUACAACAUGUCAUGGAAAGCAUGGCCCCAUUCUACAGUGGCGCAAAAUAUAAAAAAAUAAUACUGACAACAAUUCAGUAAACGCAAUAAGUAUUAGAUAGAGACAGAUAAAGAGAGAAAGUAAAAAACACAGUAAGUGUUAGGCUAGCUUCAGACUUUUUUUGCCUAUGAAAUUUGUAGGACAAAUUCAUAUUUCAAACUAUCACAUUAGUGUUUGCAUUUAGCCUACAACAUGUCAUGGAACUUCUGGAAGCACAGCCCCAUCCUGCAAAGUGGCACAGAACACCUAGAGCACCCAAAGGAGGUUUCUACACAUCGUCCAUUCUUUGCCCUGCGUCCACUCAAGAUGCACACCACACACCCUCCAACAUUAUGGUAGCCCCUGAGCUGGUCGAGAUGGUCAACCUCGCCCAUUUUCUUGUUGCAAUCCAGGACCAGCUCUGAAAUAAACAGUAUGAUUUUGUUCUGCCUGUAUUUUGAUACUGGUUUUAGGGUAUUUUCCUGAGCUGUUAGAACAUAGACUGUACACAUCUGUGUACACACUGAAAGCAAGGAGUCACAGAGACACCAUAUUUUUAUCCCCCACUUUACUGUUUUUUGGGGCAUAUACUGCUUCCACAGUAGUCUACAGUCAAAUUAUAUCAUAGCCUCAUCCACUGAGAGGGCUUGCCAUGGGUGAAGUAGUUUAGGGAAUUCUCUUGCAGUAUUUUGAUAAAAGGCCUGACUUUGUGUAAUUUGUCUGUCACAUUAGCUGAAUUUGGAUCGGAGAAGUGCAUGUAUUUACAUAGCUGCUCAAAGCGGUUGUGUGGCAUUUUACUUGUGAUGUAUGGAACCCUGAGGGCGGCGUCAGAGGACCAGUAGUCAAUGAGAGAGGGUAAGCGGUGGAUGCCCAUGAGAAUAUUGAUUCCAAUAACGCAUUUAAUCUCAUCUUUAAAUGUGACAAAUGGGGAGACAUUGGAUGUAGUGGCAUACCGGUUGGUGUUAAACACCAGAUCAGAAAAGAACAGACAACUACCAUUUUCCCCCCAAAAAAAUGUAAACUGCCAAUGUCACUUUAGGCCCAGGCUGUGUGGUUCAAGGGUGAAUGGUGGGACUUGGGGCAGAUGCACUCCACAGAAAGGUAGGCUGGGCUAUUGCCCCUAUAGAUUCCCUUGGCUGGUGGGCUCUCCCUCUUCCUCCUCCUCUAAUUCCUCUUCCUCUCUUCUUCUUCCUCCACUCCCCUCUCCUUCCACUCCUCCCUCCUCUUCCCUCUCCUCUUCCUCUCUUUCUCCCUCCUCUUCACUCUCCUCUUCCUCUCCCCUUUCACUCCCCUCUCCCUCCUCUUCCUCCUCGCUCCAAAUCUCUAUCCCUUCAAUCAUCUCCAACUUUUCCUCCUCCCUGCCUUCUGGUACUGAGCCCUUAUUCUCCCAAUAACUUCUCUCACUGCUGUCACGGACCUAGAGGAACAGAGGAACAGACUGAGAGAGAUCGCGAGAGUUUGAGAGGAAUGGAGAAACAAAUAGGAUACAAUUGUGGUCAGGAACAGCAUCUCUCUCUCUCCCUCUCCCACUGUCUCUCUCUUCCUUCUGCUCUCUUUUUUUUCUCAAUCAUACACAUACUUGCUUCCUAAUAAUCACCUCUUUGGGGUUUCCAAUGUGUGGUACAGUUAGAUGCCUCCCUUUCCACUCACUCACUCACUCACUCACUCACUCACUCACUCACUCACUCACUCACUCACUCACUCACUCACUCACUCACUCACUCACUCACUCACUCACUCACUCACUCACUCACUCACUCACUCACUCACUCACUCACUCACUCACUCACACACAGAGUAAACAGUAUAAUCAGAAUGCUAUACAACACUUUCAAUCAAUCAAUCACAUUUAUUUAAUGAAGCGCUUAGUGGCCAGGAUAGAGCAAACAAAAUGUAAUUCAUGAAUAUGUUCAUGGAUGACCAGCAGUGUUAGAUUAUAACCGUAAAGACUAUAUAGGAUAAACACACUUCAAGACCCAUGGCCAGAUGAUUAAUUGGGCAUCGUUAGCUAGUUAUCUUUGUAGAAAAUAAGAAUUUGUUCUUAACUGACUUGCCUAGUUACAGUUUUUCUCAAUUGUUUACACACAAAUACUGGUACUUGAGACACAAUGACCACAACAUGUAACUCAUGCACCAACCCCCUGAACCAAUUCUGCUAAACUACAAGCACAAUUCCUGCUUUACACUCAAAUUGCAGUUCUAAAACACACUUUUUUCAAAACACUACACACAAUUCAUUGCAUUUGGCACAAUUUUCAUGCAGAAAAUCACUUGUUUUCACAAUGAACACACUGCCAUUCAAAUAUGCACACUGACUCAUCACAUGGGCAAACACCCAUCACACAGUUUUACAAUUAGCAAUCAGAGCUUUAGCAUAAAAGGGCAACAGGUGAGCUCUUCUGUUUUGGCGCAAUGGAUGCCAACAUUGGAAACAGAGGCAGAGCCAGAGGAGUCAGAGUAAGAGGAGGAGGACGGGGAGGAAAAGGACGAGGACGGGGAAGGCCAAGGACCGUAAUCUCUGAUGAGAUCCGAGCCACUUUGGUUGAUCAUGUGGUCAACCAUGGUCUAACAAUGAGGGAGGCUGGGCAAAGAGUACAGCCAAAUUUAAGCAGGUACACUGUAACAUCCAUCAUCCGGACAUUCCGAAAUGAGAAUAGGUAAGAAAUCUACUCUCACUAGAAAAUUGCAGUACUGCAUUUCAAUACAGUACUCAAUGAGUACAGUAGUACAGUAUUGCCUGUGGACUGUUCUGUAGGACUGUAAAAAUAAAGUAUGUUUCAAGUAUUUGGGAAAUGUAUUCCUACUUUGUAUUUACAGUAUUUUACUAUUUGUUUGGCAGAGCUGAAAGAUUACCAACACAAGGUGGUCGGGAACGUGUUCUGUCUCCUGAACAGGAAACUGAAAUCAUGAACAUGGUCCUAGAAAAUAACGGCAUAACAUUACGGCAAAUACAAAGAAAAAUAAUAGAAAACAAAGAGGUAUUUCAAAAUAUUGAUAGGGUAAGCUUAUCAACACUGGACCGUGUCUUGCGCAGAAAUAAUCUCAGGAUGAAGCAGGUCUACAGGGUGCCAUUUGAACGCAAUUCAGAAAGAGUCAAAGAAUUGCGAUAUAACUAUGUGCAAAGAGUCCUUGAGCUAGAGGUGGCUGCAGUGGAGCACCAGUUCAUCUUCAUUGAUGAGAUUGGAUUCAACCUCACAAAAAGACGAAAGAGGGGAAGGAAUAUCAUCGGCCAGCGUGCCAUUGUUCAAGUCCCUGGCCAGCGCGGAGGGAACAUCACAAUGUGUCCAGCGAUUACCCACCACGGCGUCAUCCAUCACCAUGCUACCCUUGGCCCCUACAACAACGCCCAUCUGAUCACAUUCCUGGACACCCUACACAACACACUCAUUCCACCAGAUCAGGUAGAUGGCCCAGAGCAGCUCAGGUACGUUGUCAUUUGGGACAACAUAAGUUUCCACAGGGCUGCUCUGGUUUGUAACUGGUUCACUGCCCACCCACGCUUUUUAGUUGUUUAUCUCCCUCCAUAUUCUCCAGUCCUCAAUCCUAUUGAGGAAUUUUUUUCUGCCUGGAGAUGGAAAGUGUAUGACCGAAAUUCACAAACGCGUAUACCUCUUCUCCAAGCUAUGGAAGACGCAUGUGGAGAAAUAGCAGCUGAUGCUUUUCAUGGCUGGAAUCGGCAUGCUAGGCGAUAUUUCCCCCGCUGCUUGGCCAGGGAAAACAUUGCUUGUGAUGUGGAUGAGGUGCUGUGGCCAGACCGCAACAGAAGAGAGGAUGCAGCAUAGUUUUAAAUGUUUAAAUUUUAAAUGUUUUUUACUUUAACUGUAUACAUUAAAUUCUUCUGUUUUGUAUGUAGACCACUGUAUGUGCAACUUUGUGUUGGUUGGGAAUGGGAUGUACACUGUGUACAUUGUUUUUGUGGGAAAAAUAAAAUAUAUUUGUUACCGUG